GACGAACGCUGGCGGCGUGCUUAACACAUGCAAGUCGAACGAAGUGGCGAACGGGUGAGUAACGCGUAAUCAACCUGCCCUUCAGAGGGGGACAACAGUGGGAAACGACUGCUAAUACCGCAUACUGAAGGAGGGGAUGGCGGCUGAUUAGCUAGUUGGAGGGGUAACGGCCCACCAAGGCGAUGAUCAGGAGCCGGUCUGGGAGGGUGAACCGCCAAAAUGGGACUUGGACACGGGCCAAACUCCUACGGGGAGGCGCAGUGGGGAAUCUUCCGCAAUGGAGGGAAGUCUGGAGGAGGAACGCCGCGGGGGUGAUGAAGGCCUUCGGGUUUGAAAGCUCUGUUAAGCGGGGCGCGGUACCGGAAUAGAAAGCCACGGCUAACUACGUGCCAGCAGCCGCGGUAAUAC
rnacentral:rRNA from 1 species